AGAGUUUGAUCAUGGCUCAGGAUGAACGCUGGCGGCGUGCUUAACACAUGCAAGUCGAACGAUGAACCUCACUUGUGGGGGGAUUAGUGGCGAACGGGUGAGUAACACGUGAGUAACCUGCCCUUGACUCUGGGAUAAGCCUGGGAAACCGGGUCUAAUACUGAAUAUGACCUUCUGGCGCAUGCCAUGUUGGUGGAAAGCUUUAUUGCGGUUUUGGAUGGACUCGCGGCCUAUCAGCUUGUUGGUGGGGUAAUGGCCUACCAAGGCGACGACGGGUAGCCGGCCUGAGAGGGUGGACGGCCACACUGGGACUGAGACACGGCCCAGACUCCUACGGGAGGCAGCAGUGGGGAAUAUUGCACAAUGGGCGCAAGCCUGAUGCAGCGACGCCGCGUGGGGGAUGAAGGCCUUCGGGUUGUAAACCUCUUUCAGUAGGGAAGAAGCGAAAGUGACGGUACCUGCAGAAGAAGCGCCGGCUAACUACGUGCCAGCAGCCGCGGUAAUACGUAGGGCGCAAGCGUUAUCCGGAAUUAUUGGGCGUAAAGAGCUCGUAGGCGGUUUGUCGCGUCUGCCGUGAAAGUCCGGGGCUUAACUCCGGAUCUGCGGUGGGUACGGGCAGACUAGAGUGAUGUAGGGGAGACUGGAAUUCCUGGUGUAGCGGUGAAAUGCGCAGAUAUCAGGAGGAACACCGAUGGCGAAGGCAGGUCUCUGGGCAUUAACUGACGCUGAGGAGCGAAAGCAUGGGGAGCGAACAGGAUUAGAUACCCUGGUAGUCCAUGCCGUAAACGUUGGGCACUAGGUGUGGGGGACAUUCCACGUUUUCCGCGCCGUAGCUAACGCAUUAAGUGCCCCGCCUGG
rnacentral:rRNA from 1 species